GCCCUCGGUGGCUCAGAUGGAUAGAGCGUCUGCCAUGUAAGCAGGGGAUCCCGGGUUCGAGUCCCGGUCGGGGCA
rnacentral:tRNA from 1 species